CUGCUAUGGAAGUUUCUUUUUUACUUCGCCAUAAUGUGGGAGGACUGAUGGACAUUGUUCCACAUGUACUAGAGGUUGCUUGCAGUGGAGAAUCUACUAACAAACAGCUUUCUGGCCAUUGCAAUGGUGCAAUUGCAUUUCAUCAUUUUGAGACUCCAGCAAGAGUUUCACUGAAUGGGUCAAUAUUUACC